rnacentral:lncRNA from 1 species
GAGCGCACGCCUCUAAUCCCAGGGACUUGGGAGGUGACACAGGAGGACUACAAGUUUGAGACCAGUCUCGGCAACUUAGCAAGGCCCUAAGCAAACUUAGUGAGAUCCUGUCUCAGAAUAAAAAAUAAAAAAGGGGUUUACUGGGGAUGUGGCUCAGUAGUAAAGAAUGGAAUGCCCUGAUUCCAUCCCCAGAAUGAAUGAAUGAAUAAACAACAAACAAACGUAUGCAGACAAUAAGGCCCCAGAAUAGGACAAAAAUAUACAUAUAUAUUGGCACUUGAACUGCAGAUGGAUCCUCAGAUCGGGUCCCAGGGGCCCUUAGCAUGGAAGCUACAGGUAUAAAAGUCAUAGAGCACCCCUGCUCUGGCUCCCCAGGGAGAGCAGCAGCUGAACAUGGCAGUGUGCACAGAGGCACGCACACCCCACCCCACUAAGGCAGAGCUGGCACUAGAGGGACCACAUGUGUCCAUGUCAUCCUCAAGACCUUCCAGAAGCCCUCCAUCACAUAACAGCACAACGAGGCUGAGGCCAGAACCUUCCAGCACCUUCUGAAUCACUGAGUCCCUGAACUGGCUGCCUGUAAGGGUCUCUAGAAGCUUCUUAGAAAUGCAGAGUGCUGUGUCCAUCUCUGGGCAAUGGGAUGAGACUCU